CGGGCUGGUACGGGUACGGGGAUUAGGGUUCGAUUCCGGAGAGGGAGCCUGAGAAACGGCUACCACAUCCAAGGAAGGCAGCAGGCGCGCAAAUUACCCAAUCCCGACACGGGGAGGUAGUGACAAUAAAUAACAAUACGGGGCUCUUUCGGGUCUCGUAAUUGGAAUGAGUACAAUUUAAAUCCCUUAACGAGGAACAAUUGGAGGGCAAGUCUGGUGCCAGCAGCCGCGGUAAUUCCAGCUCCAAUAGCGUAUAUUAAAGUUGUUGCAGUUAAAAAGCUCGUAGUUGAAUUUCGGGAUUGACACAUCGGUCGUGCCCUAAGGGGUAUGAACUGGUGUAGUCAAUUUCUCACCUUCUGGAGAACCGCGAUGCCCUUAAUUGGGUGUCACGGGGAACCAGGACCUUUACUUUGAAAAAAUCAGAGUGUUUAAAGCAGGCAUUUUGCUUGAAUACAUUAGCAUGGAAUAAUAAAAUAGGACGGCAUGAUUCUAUUUUGUUGGUUUCUAGGAUCACCGUAAUGAUUAAUAGGGAUAGUUGGGGGCAUUAGUAUUCAAUUGUCAGAGGUGAAAUUCUUGGAUUUAUUGAAGACUAACUACUGCGAAAGCAUUUGCCAAGGAUGUUUUCAUUAAUCAAGAACGAAAGUUAGGGGAUCGAAGACGAUCAGAUACCGUCGUAGUCUUAACCAUAAACUAUGCCGACUAGGAAUCAGACGAUGUUAAUUUUUUAAUGACUCGUUUGGCACCUUACGGGAAACCAAAGUGUUUGGGUUC
rnacentral:rRNA from 1 species